rnacentral:rRNA from 1 species
GACGUAGGGCGCGAGCGUUGUCCGGAUUUAUUGGGCGUAAAGAGCUCGUAGGCGGCUUGUCGCGUCGUUCGUGAAAACCUGCAGCUCAACUGCAGGCUUGCGGUCGAUACGGGCAGGCUAGAGUUCGGUAGGGGAGACUGGAAUUCCUGGUGUAGCGGUGAAAUGCGCAGAUAUCAGGAGGAACACCUAUUGCGAAGGCAGCUCGCUGGGCCAUUACUGACACUGAGAAGCGAAAGCAUGGGGAGCGAACAGG